GCAAAGAAGGAUAACAAAAGGUUUAGGGAUUAAUAAGGUACAUGUGGGUGCAUAGCCCCCAGUACCCU
rnacentral:rRNA from 1 species